rnacentral:rRNA from 1 species
GAUGAACGCUGGCGGCGUGCCUAAUACAUGCAAGUCGAGCGAACAGACGAGGAGCUUGCUCCUCUGACGUUAGCGGCGGACGGGUGAGUAACACGUGGAUAACCUACCUAUAAGACUGGGAUAACUUCGGGAAACCGGAGCUAAUACCGGAUAAUAUAUUGAACCGCAUGGUUCAAUAGUGAAAGACGGUUUUGCUGUCACUUAUAGAUGGAUCCGCGCCGCAUUAGCUAGUUGGUAAGGUAACGGCUUACCAAGGCAACGAUGCGUAGCCGACCUGAGAGGGUAAUCGGCCACACUGGAACUGAGACACGGUCCACACUCCUACGGGAGGCAGCAGUAGGGAAUCUUCCGCAAUGGGCGAAAGCCUGACGGAGCAACGCCGCGUGAGUGAUGAAGGUCUUCGGAUCGUAAAACUCUGUUAUUAGGGAAGAACAAAUGUGUAAGUAACUAUGCACGUCUUGACGGUACCUAAUCAGAAAGCCACGGCUAACUACGU